rnacentral:rRNA from 1 species
CUGCGAAUGGCUCAUUAAAUCAGUUAUCGUUUAUUUGAUAGUACCUUACUACUUGGAUAACCGUGGUAAUUCUAGAGCUAAUACAUGCUGAAAACCUCGACUUCGGAAGGGGUGUAUUUAUUAGAUAAAAAACCAAUGCCCUUCGGGGCUCUUUGGUGAUUCAUGAUAACUUCUCAGAUCGCAUGGCCUUGCGCCGGCGACGGUUCAUUCAAAUUUCUGCCCUAUCAACUUUCGAUGGUAAGGUAUUGGCUUACCAUGGUUUCAACGGGUAACGGGGAAUUAGGGUUCGAUUCCGGAGAAGGAGCCUGCGAGACGGCUCCUACAUCCAAGGAAGGCAGCAGGCGCGCAAAUUACCCAAUCCCGACACGGGGAGGUAGUGACAAUAAAUACUGAUACAGGGCUCUUUUGGGUCUUGUAAUUGGAAUGAGUACAAUUUAAACCUCUUAACGAGGAACAAUUGGAGGGCAAGUCUGGUGCCAGCAGCCGCGGUAAUUCCAGCUCCAAUAGCGUAUAUUAAAGUUGUUGCAGUUAAAAAGCUCGUAGUUGAACCUUGGGCCUGGCUGGCGGGUCCGCCUCACCGCGUGUACUUGACCGGCCGGGCCUUCUCUUCUGGAGAACCUCAUGCCCUUUACUGGGCGUGUUGGGGACCAGGACUUUUACUUUGAAAAAAUUAGAGUGUUCAAAGCAGGCCUUUGCUCGAAUAUGUUAGCAUGGAAUAAUAGAAUAGGACGUGCGGUCCUAUUUUGUUGGUUUCUAGGACCGCCGUAAUGAUUAAUAGGGACAGUCGGGGGCAUCAGUAUUCAAUUGUCAGAGGUGAAAUUCUUGGAUUUAUUGAAGACUAACUACUGCGAAAGCAUUUGCCAAGGAUGUUUUCAUUAAUCAGUGAACGAAAGUUAGGGGAUCGAAGACGAUCAGAUACCGUCGUAGUCUUAACCAUAAACUAUGCCGACUAGGGAUCGGGCGAUGUUUCAAUAUUGACUCGCUCGGCAC